rnacentral:rRNA from 1 species
UACAGAGGGUGCGAGCGUUAAUCGGAAUUACUGGGCGUAAAGGGUGCGUAGGUGGUUGAAUAAGUUAGGUGUGAAAGUCCUGGGCUUAACCUGGGGAUUGCGCUUAAGACUGUAUAACUAGAGUACUGUAGAGGGAGGUGGAAUUUCCGGUGUAGCGGUGAAAUGCGUAGAUAUCAAGUGGAACACCAGUGGCGAAGGCGGUUCUCUGGGCAUUACCUGACGCUGAGGAGCGAAAGUGUGGGGAGCGAACAGG